CCUACGGGAGGCAGCAGUGAGGAAUAUUGGUCAAUGGGCGCGAGCCUGAACCAGCCAAGUAGCGUGAAGGAUGACUGCCCUACGGGUUGUACACUUCUUUUAUAAAGGAAUACAGUGAGGCACGUGUGCCUUUUUGUAUGUACUUUAUGAAUAAGGAUCGGCUAACUUCGUGCCAGCGGCCGCGGUACUACGGAGGCUCCGAGCGUUAUCCGGAUUUAUUGGGUUUACAGGGUGCGUAAAUGGGUUGUUAAGUCAGUUGUGAAAGUUUGCGGCUCAACCGUAAAAUUGCAAUUGAUACUGGCAGUCGUGAGUACAGUUGAGGUAGGCGGAAUUCGUGGUGUAGCGGUGAAAUGCGUAGAUAUCACGAAGAACUCCGAUUGCGAAGGCAGCUUACUAAACUGCCACUGACAUUGAUGCUCGAAAGUGUGGGUAUCAAACAGGAGUAGAUACCCGUGUAGUC
rnacentral:rRNA from 1 species